AGUAUUUCUGCUUAAAAAAUUAUGAUUACUUAUUCAUUUACAUAUUCAUGAUUAUGAUUACUUAUUUCAUGUAACAACCACUCAAUCAAUUUCACGCUUGAUAUUUUCCUUAAAUUAAAAUCAAUCGUUAAUAAUAAAAAAAUAUACUAAAUAUGAAAGUAACGCAUAAAGCGGCCACCUCCACCGACUGUCUUUCUGCUACGAAAAAGAAAAAAAAAUGCAAUAUACACAUUAUUUUUUUAGUUCAAUUAAAUGAACAGCUAAUUAAACAAACAGAACAAGUUUGUUCAAAUGAUAAAAAAGCAGACCAUUAAGACAGAUACGCUCAGAAGAAAUAUCUCGACCUG